GGAGAGGAGAGGGCGGCCCGCGGCUCUCCAGCCCGGGGCGCAGGCACGAUUACGCCCGGCGGCCUGGCGGCUGUUGAUGUUGCUACACUGGGUGUUCCGCUUGCCUGCGGUGCCUUCUCCAAGAGGGGCAGCAGAAAACUCCAAGCCCAUGUGAAAACUUCAACAAUGGAUCCGAGAGAGGAACUGACCAGACUACUCCAACCACAGAGAGCAGUAGCCCCAAGCAACACACUGAUGAGACAGAGGAGAAACAGUCCAGAGAUGGGGGAUGGUAAAGACUCCUUGCCAUGUUAGCAGUCAUCAGCUGUGCGUUGAUGCAGGUUGCCCUGGACAAAGCCAAAGAAAGUCAGACCUGCAUGCUAUUGCCCACCGUUUGUCCAUCAUCCAGAACUCAAAUAUCAUUGCUGUCAUGUCACAGGGGACAGUGAUUGGGAAGGGGACUCAAAGAACUGAUGGCCCAGAAAGGAGCCUACUACAGACUAAUUCCCUAAAUGCCUGGCAGCAAUUUAAAAGGACAUGAGAGAACUCAAUCCUUUUCAUUGAAUAUUUCUAGUCCGCAGAUAUGGAAUGAAAAGUCUUAAAAGGACUCAAGCCCUGUAAAUGGCAUACACCUUUCUAAAUUUAUUAAGAAAACAAAAAGGGGGAAAUGCCGGAGGCAAAGAAGAACAGUAGUUAACAUAUAAAUGGAGAAGUCCCCUGGAAGGCUAAUGGACUUUGAUAUUCAACUGAAAAAUCAGCAUUAUAUUACCCUGUUGGCUGAAUGGCUGAAGGCAAUCCCCUAACCCAGUGCUUGGCGAACUGUGGCUCAGCAAACCGCAGCUCUCGAGCCAAAUGCAGUUCUUUGGCCCCUUGAGUGUGGCUCUUCCACAAAAUACCGACUUCUGUGCAUGGGUCAUGAAGUUUUAAUUGCACUGUAUGUGCGCACCCCCAUGUGGUAUUUUGUGGAAGAGCCACACUUAACGGGCCAAGAGCCGUAUGUGGCUUGUGAGCCGUGGUUUGCCGACCAUGGCCCUAAUCUGAUAAUCCUUUUACUGUUUACCAAACUUUACCUUUGAUAUGCCUUUUUGCAUUCCUAAAGGGCAAAUGUGUAUUCAAGUAAAUGAAAGAUGAUGGGUCUGGGGUUUCAGCAAGCUUCUC